rnacentral:rRNA from 1 species
GGUUAAGCGACUAAGCGUACACGGUGGAUGCCCUGGCAGUCAGAGGCGAUGAAGGGCGUGCUAAUCUGCGAUAAGCGCCGGUAAGGUGAUAUGAACCGUUAUAACCGGCGAUACCCGAAUGGGGAAACCCAGUGUGACUCGUCACACUAUCAUUAACUGAAUCCAUAGGUUAAUGAGGCGAACCGGGGGAACUGAAACAUCUAAGUACCCCGAGGAAAAGAAAUCAACCGAGAUUCCCCCAGUAGCGGCGAGCGAACGGGGAGGAGCCCAGAGCCUGAAUCAGCAUGUGUGUUAGUGGAAGCGUCUGGAAAGGCGCGCGAUACAGGGUGACAGCCCCGUACACAAAAGCGCAUGUGCUGUGAGCUCGAUGAGUAGGGCGGGACACGUGGUAUCCUGUCUGAAUAUGGGGGGACCAUCCUCCAAGGCUAAAUACUCCUGACUGACCGAUAGUGAACCAGUACCGUGAGGGAAAGGCGAAAAGAACCCCGGCGAGGGGAGUGAAAAAGAACCUGAAACCGUGUACGUACAAGCAGUGGGAGCCCCACCACCAAAGCAUUCUCUGGUGUUGAAGGCCCUGCAAAGCAGCAUCGCGGUGGCGGAGCGUCGUUUGCGACGCCCAACACACAAAACAAGCGGUGAGUGCUUUGGGGUGGGGUGACUGCGUACCUUUUGUAUAAUGGGUCAGCGACUUAUAUUCUGUAGCAAGGUUAACCGAAUAGGGGAGCCGGAGGGAAACCGAGUCUUAAUUGGGCGUUAAGUUGCAGGGUAUAGACCCGAAACCCGGUGAUCUAGCCAUGGGCAGGUUGAAGGUUGGGUAACACUAACUGGAGGACCGAACCGACUAAUGUUGAAAAAUUAGCGGAUGACCUGUGGCUGGGGGUGAAAGGCCAAUCAAACCGGGAGAUAGCUGGUUCUCCCCGAAAGCUAUUUAGGUAGCGCCUCGUGAAUUCAUCUCCGGGGGUAGAGCACUGUUUCGGCUAGGGGGCCAUCCCGGCUUACCAACCCGAUGCAAACUGCGAAUACCGGAGAAUGUUAUCACGGGAGACACACGGCGGGUGCUAACGUCCGUCGUGAAGAGGGAAACAACCCAGACCGCCAGCUAAGGUCCCAAAGUCAUGGUUAAGUGGGAAACGAUGUGGGAAGGCCCAGACAGCCAGGAUGUUGGCUUAGAAGCAGCCAUCAUUUAAAGAAAGCGUAAUAGCUCACUGGUCGAGUCGGCCUGCGCGGAAGAUGUAACGGGGCUAAACCAUGCACCGAAGCUGCGGCAGCGACGCUGAUGCGUUGUUGGGUAGGGGAGCGUUCUGUAAGCCUGUGAAGGUGGCCUGUGAGGGUUGCUGGAGGUAUCAGAAGUGCGAAUGCUGACAUAAGUAACGAUAAAGCGGGUGAAAAGCCCGCUCGCCGGAAGACCAAGGGUUCCUGUCCAACGUUAAUCGGGGCAGGGUGAGUCGACCCCUAAGGCGAGGCCGAAAGGCGUAGUCGAUGGGAAACGGGUUAAUAUUCCCGUACUUGGUGUUACUGCGAAGGGGGGACGGAGAAGGCUAUGUUGGCCGGGCGACGGUUGUCCCGGUUUAAGCGUGUAGGUGUGUGUUCCAGGUAAAUCCGGUUCACUUUAACACUGAGGCGUGAUGACGAGGCACUACGGUGCUGAAGCAACAAAUGCCCUGCUUCCAGGAAAAGCCUCUAAGCAUCAGGUAACAUCAAAUCGUACCCCAAACCGACACAGGUGGUCAGGUAGAGAAUACCAAGGCGCUUGAGAGAACUCGGGUGAAGGAACUAGGCAAAAUGGUGCCGUAACUUCGGGAGAAGGCACGCUGACACGUAGGUGAAGUGAUUUACUCACGGAGCUGAAGUCAGUCGAAGAUACCAGCUGGCUGCAACUGUUUAUUAAAAACACAGCACUGUGCAAACACGAAAGUGGACGUAUACGGUGUGACGCCUGCCCGGUGCCGGAAGGUUAAUUGAUGGGGUCAGCGCAAGCGAAGCUCCUGAUCGAAGCCCCGGUAAACGGCGGCCGUAACUAUAACGGUCCUAAGGUAGCGAAAUUCCUUGUCGGGUAAGUUCCGACCUGCACGAAUGGCGUAAUGAUGGCCAGGCUGUCUCCACCCGAGACUCAGUGAAAUUGAACUCGCUGUGAAGAUGCAGUGUACCCGCGGCAAGACGGAAAGACCCCGUGAACCUUUACUAUAGCUUGACACUGAACAUUGAGCCUUGAUGUGUAGGAUAGGUGGGAGGCUUUGAAGUGUGGACGCCAGUCUGCAUGGAGCCGACCUUGAAAUACCACCCUUUAAUGUUUGAUGUUCUAACGUGGACCCGUAAUCCGGGUUGCGGACAGUGUCUGGUGGGUAGUUUGACUGGGGCGGUCUCCUCCUAAAGAGUAACGGAGGAGCACGAAGGUUGGCUAAUCCUGGUCGGACAUCAGGAGGUUAGUGCAAUGGCAUAAGCCAGCUUGACUGCGAGCGUGACGGCGCGAGCAGGUGCGAAAGCAGGUCAUAGUGAUCCGGUGGUUCUGAAUGGAAGGGCCAUCGCUCAACGGAUAAAAGGUACUCCGGGGAUAACAGGCUGAUACCGCCCAAGAGUUCAUAUCGACGGCGGUGUUUGGCACCUCGAUGUCGGCUCAUCACAUCCUGGGGCUGAAGUAGGUCCCAAGGGUAUGGCUGUUCGCCAUUUAAAGUGGUACGCGAGCUGGGUUUAGAACGUCGUGAGACAGUUCGGUCCCUAUCUGCCGUGGGCGCUGGAGAACUGAGGGGGGCUGCUCCUAGUACGAGAGGACCGGAGUGGACGCAUCACUGGUGUUCGGGUUGUCAUGCCAAUGGCACUGCCCGGUAGCUAAAUGCGGAAGAGAUAAGUGCUGAAAGCAUCUAAGCACGAAACUUGCCCCGAGAUGAGUUCUCCCUGAGACUUAAAGUCUCCUGAAGGAACGUUGAAGACGACGACGUUGAUAGGCCGGGUGUGUAAGCGCAGCGAUGCGUUGAGCUAACCGGUACUAAUGAACCGUGAGGCUUAACCUU